UUGAAACACCGGUUCCCGUAAGAUCUGCGAAGUUAAGAAACGUCGAGUCUGGUUAGUAUCUAGAUGGGAGACCGCUUGCGAAUAUCAGGA